rnacentral:rRNA from 1 species
GGAGUUUGGACCGUGUCUCAGUUCCAAUGUGGGGGACCUUCCUCUCAGAACCCCUAGACAUCGUCGCCUUGGUGUGCCGUUACCACUCCAACUAGCUAAUGUCCCGCGAGCCCAUCCGCAUCCGAAAUUCUUUCAAACAGAGAUCAUGCGGUCCCUGUUGUUAUGGAGUAUUAGACGACGUUUCCAUCGCUUUUCCCCCAGAUGCGGGCAAGUUGCUCACGUGUUACGCACCCUUCCGCCGGUCGCCGCCAUCGUAUUGCUACAACGCGCUGCCCCUCGACUUGCAUGUGUUAAGCCUGCCGCUAGCGUUCAUC